CUCUCGGCGCAUCGUCUCCAGCACCAUCUCCAGAUCUGGUGCGGCCAGCAGCCCCCACCCUUCACCUCUUCCCUAACCAGGUUUUUAUAUACAGAGAUUGGACGUCUUUAGAACAUUCACAAUAGCCAUAGAUGCAGUGGAUACGAACAAUUGCAAGUCGAUGAUUCUACAAGCUUGUUUUUUCUCUCAGGGACAGAUUUUCCUGGCCAAGGAAAAUGCAAAAUGAGACCGGGCUGGAAAUUGCAUCUAUAUAUCACACAGAUGCCAUGUGGGGAUGCAUCAAUGACUUCACCAUUGUCAUCAUUGACUGAUGAGCCCCAACCAAAAGAGAAUUUGCUGUCUAUACUCAAAGCCCCAGGUUCUAUGGGAUGAUGAUUUAGAUGAAUCGAUUUACACUCCAGGUUUGUUGGUUUGAGCUAAUCCCUUUUUUUCUUUUACUUUCUCCAUAAUCUUUCAAAAAGGGACAAAAUCUUCAUAAUUCAUUAAUUCUUUUUUCCAUAUAGAUUGCUGAUGUGUUGUUGGGAGCACUUCAUCUCAAAAUUACAAAAGAUUAUAGUUCUAUUUUAUUUUUUCCUCCGAUGAAUCUGUUUUGGAGCAGUUCCAUACUUUGUUUCAUUUAUUUUUCAA